AUUGAACGCUGGCGGCAGGCCUAACACAUGCAAGUCGAGCGGAUGAAGGCUGCUUGCUUCUGGUUUCAGCGGGGCACGGGUGAGUAAUGCCUAGGAAUCUGCCUGGCAGGGGGGGAUAAUGUCCGGAAACGGGCGCUAAUACUGCAUAAGUCCUGCGGGUGAUGGUGGGGGAUCUUCGGACCUUACGCUCUCAGGUGAGCCUAGGUCGGAUUUGCUAGUUGGUGGGGUAAGGGGCUACCUAGGCGACGAUCCGUAACUGGACUGAGAGGAUGAUAAGUCACACUGGAACUGAGACACGGUCCAGACUCCUACGGGAGGCAGCAGUGUGGAAUAUUGGACAGUGGGGGAAAGCCUGAUCCAGCCAUGCCGCGUGUGUGGAGGAGGCCUUCGGAGCGUAAAGCACGUUAAGUGGUGAGAAAGGGCAGUAAGUUAAUACCUUGCUGUUUUGACGUUACCAACAGAAGAAGCACCGGCUAACUACGUG
rnacentral:rRNA from 1 species